rnacentral:rRNA from 1 species
UACAGAGGUGGCAAGCGUUGUUCGGAAUUACUGGGCGUAAAGGGCGCGUAGGCGGCCCGUCAAGUCCCGUGUGAAAGCCCCCGGCUCAACCGGGGAACGGCGCGGGAAACUAGCAGGCUUGAGUUCAGGAGAGGGAUGCGGAAUUCCAGGUGUAGCGGUGAAAUGCGUAGAUAUCUGGAGGAACACCGGUGGCGAAGGCGGCAUCCUGGACCGACACUGACGCUGAGGAGCGAAAGCCAGGGGAGCAAACGGG